GACGAACGCUGGCGGCGUGCUUAACACAUGCAAGUCGAACGGAAAGGCCCUGCUUUUGUGGGGUGCUCGAGUGGCGAACGGGUGAGUAACACGUGAGUAACCUGCCCUUGACUUUGGGAUAACUUCAGGAAACUGGGGCUAAUACCGGAUAGGAGCUCCUGCUGCAUGGUGGGGGUUGGAAAGUUUCGGCGGUUGGGGAUGGACUCGCGGGUUAUCAGCUUGUUGGUGAGGUAGUGGCUUACCAAGGCUUUGACGGGUAGCCGGCCUGAGAGGGUGGACGGCCACAUUGGGACUGAGAUACGGACCAGAAUCCUACGGGAGGCAGCAGUGGGGAAUCUUGCGCAGUGGGCGGACGCCUGAUGCAGCGACGCCGCGUGCGGAAUAACGGCCUUCGGGUUGUAAACCGCUUUCGCCGGUGCCGAAGCGUGAGUGACGGUAAUGGGUAAAGAAGCACCGGCUAACUACGUG
rnacentral:rRNA from 1 species